UCGCAUUUCUUGGACGGUGGAGCCUUUACUCUAACGAGUACAUCAACCAGCUGGGCAGCGGCACCUUCUCAAUUAAGGGAACGGAUGAAUGCCCUCAAAUAAUAAUUCUUAACACGCUUGCAGGGGUCGUCAUCAAAAGCGAGGUCACUUAUCCGCGGCUGUUGUUUCCUUUUCAUUGGUCGGCCCAGCGCCCAGACGUUAACGCAACGCUGUUUUUUGAAAAAAUUUAGUGAUUUUGGAACCAAUAAUGCUUUUACUUUUCGUUAAUCGUCGAUUCUCAAGCAGCAAUUCCUUUAUUUUAUUAACGUGUUGAUUAUCAGCCGUUGUUGAUGGCCGUACUGGACGUGGUUUGCGUUCUCGCCACUCUUUGAAUAAUUUGUACCAACUAAAAACACUUGCUCGGACAAACAAUUAUCACCGAAGAUCAUUUCCAACAUUCUGGACGUUCCGGCACCAGAAAUUAGAUUCCGUAUACAAAAUUUAAUGGAACUUUUUUGAUGAAUAAUUUCACUCAUCGUAAAAAUCGCCGAAGACGUUGACUAUUACAAGUAUAUGGAAAAUGGACGACGCAUAUACUUAAUAUAAAUAUUUUCGAACUUCCGGUUGACUUUACCGAUGUAAUCUAUCAACCAAUAUUUAAAUGAUUAUGACUCAGUUUUUUGAUUCUGAUACAUCAAAUAGGUUCCUGACACAUGUACAUAUGUGCUUUUAAGUCAAGACUGUUCAGCCGUACUCUUUCAUUGCCAAACACGAACACUUCAUUAACUGAUGAGCUAAAGAACAUGUGAAUGUGAAGUAUAUUGGAUUAGCGAAUCGUUCAAAAGGUUGAACAGUGCAUAUGUAUUACGUAAACCCCAAAGCUGUUCACACGCACAACCAACAAAUUUAGCUUAACUUAAUAAUGUAAUGAGAUGAUUGAUUAUCUUGUACUCGUAUAUGAUUAAUAAUUGGUUAAAGAAACAUAAACCAAUAAAACGUACUGACUAUAAUUGCAGAAGGCAGCGACCUAUA